rnacentral:rRNA from 1 species
GCUCCUACGGGGGGCAGCAGUGGGGAAUUUUGGACAAUGGGCGCAAGCCUGAUGCAGCUAUUCCGCGUGUGGGAUGAAGGCCCUCGGGUUGUAAACCACUUUUGUAGAGAACGAAAAGAUACUUUCGAAUAAAGGGAGCUGCUGACGGUACUCUAAGAAUAAGCACCGGCUAACUACGUGCCAGCAGCCGCGGUAAUACGUAGGGUGCGAGCGUUAAUCGGAAUUACUGGGCGUAAAGGGCGCGCAGGCGGUUGGGUAAGUCAGAUG